UGGAAAUCAGGGACAGCAUGAAUCACGGAAAUCCCCAGAUCAAGAAACCAAGGCCCAGAAAUGCCAAGACUUACUUAACUGAGUCAGAGGCAAAGUGCUAGAUUUCAAAGGAGCUUAGGGACUAAGUGAAGACACAAGUUUCCUGAACUUUCUAAUACUUUGAAGAGCAAAGUUUCCAUUUCAAGAAUCACCUACUUCUUAAGCAGCCACAGAAGAAAGAAGUGAGAAAA